UACGAAGGGUGCUAGCGUUGUUCGGAAUCAUUGGGCGUAAAGCGUACGUAGGCGGCUUGGUAAGUCGAUUGUGAAAGCCCUGAGCUCAACUCGGGAAUUGCAAUUGAAACUGCCUUGCUAGAAUUUAGUGGGGGAUAGUGGAAUUCCUAGUGUAGGGGUGAAAUCCGUAGAGAUUAGGAGGAACAUCAGUGGCGAAGGCGACUAUCUACGCUAAUAUUGACGCUAAGGUACGAAAGCGUGGGGAGCAAACAGG
rnacentral:rRNA from 1 species